rnacentral:rRNA from 1 species
GACGAACGCUGGCGGCGUGCUUAACACAUGCAAGUCGAACGGAAAGGCCCUGCUUGCAGGGUACUCGAGUGGCGAACGGGUGAGUAACACGUGGGUGAUCUGCCCUGCACUUCGGGAUAAGCCUGGGAAACUGGGUCUAAUACCGGAUAGGAGCCAUUUUUAGUGUGAUGGUUGGAAAGUUUUUUCGGUGUAGGAUGAGCUCGCGGCCUAUCAGCUUGUUGGUGGGGUAAUGGCCUACCAAGGCGGCGACGGGUAGCCGGCCCGAGAGGGUGGACGGGCACAGUGGGACUGGGAUACGGCCCAGACUCCGACGGGAAGCAGCAGUGGGGAAGAUGGCACAAGGGGCGCAAGCCUGAGGCAGCGACGCCGCGGGGGGGAUGACGGCCUUCGGGUUGUAAACGCCUUUCGCUAGGGACGAAGCUGUUUGUGACGGUACCUAGAGAAGAAGCACCGGCUAACUACGUG